GACGAACGCUGGCGGCGUGCCUAAUACAUGCAAGUCGAACGCAGUGGGGACGGGUGAGUAACACGUGGGUAACCUCCCAUCAGAGGGGAUAACACUUGGAAACAGGUGCUAAACCGAUACUGAUGGAUGGACCCGCGGUGCAUUCGCUAGUUGGUUAGGUAACGGCUCACCAAGGCCACGAUUCAUAGCCGACCGGAGAGGGGGAUCGGCCACACUGGGACGGAGACACGGCCCAGACUCCUACGGGAGGCAGCAGUAGGGAAGCUUCGGCAAUGGACGAAAGUCUGACCGAGCAACGCCGCGUGAGUGAAGAAGGUGUUCGGAUCGUAAAGCUCUGUUGUUAAGGAAGCGGUACUUAACCAGAAAGGGACGGCUAACUACGUGCCAGCAGCCGCGGUAAUUC
rnacentral:rRNA from 1 species